AUUGAACGCUGGCGGCAGGCCUAACACAUGCAAGUCGAACGAGUGGCGGACGGGUGAGUAAUGUCUGGGAAACUGCCCGAUGGAGGGGGAUAACUACUGGAAACGGUAGCUAAUACCGCAUACCAUCGGAUGAGCCCAGAUGGGAUUAGCUUGUAGGUGAGGGAACGGCUCAACUAGGCGACGAUCCCUAGCUGGUCUGAGAGGAUGACCAGACAAACUGGAACUGAGACACGUUCAAGACUCCGACGGGGGGCAGCAGUGGGGAAUAUUGAACAAUGGGCGCAAGCCUGAUGCAGCCAUGCCGCGUGUAUGAAGAAUGCCUUCGUGUUGUAAAGUACUUUCAGCGGGGAGGCGUUACCCGCAGAAGAAGCACCGGCUAACUACGUGCCAGCAGCCGCGGUAAUAC
rnacentral:rRNA from 1 species